UCUUGCUACUCUCAGUUUUAUUCAUCCACGGGUGGCUCCUAUGACGAAUACACUUUCGCUUGUGUAUCUGAUCCUGAGAUUGUAGACGGCGUCGUUCCGGAUUCUAGGAGAGUAUCUUCUGUGUCUGAUUGCUCUGUGGAGGUGGAGAUUGAAAGUCGGGUAGCUGAGAUAAAGGUGCAUUUGGCUAAGGUUGAGGUUGAGAGAGAUUGUAGGAUAUGCCAUCUGGGUCUGGAAAGCAAUAGCUAUGAAUCCGGGGUUCCAAUUGAAUUGGGCUGUUCCUGUAAGGACGAUUUGGCUGCUGCUCAUAAACAGUGUGC
rnacentral:misc_RNA from 1 species